UACGGGGCGCAGCAGGCGCGAAACCUUCGCAAUGCGCGAAAGCGUGACGAGGUUAAUCCGAGUGACUCCCGCUGAGGGGGUCUUUUGUCAGCUGUAAUUAGGCAGGCGAAUAAGGGGAGGGCAAGCCUGGUGUCGGCCGCCGCGGUAAUACCAGCUCCUCGAGUGGUCGGGGCGAUUAUUGGGCCUAAAGCAUCCGUAGCCGGUUCCGUAGGUCCUCUGUUAAAUCCAACCGCUCAACGGUUGACCUGCAGAGGAUACCGCGGAACUAGGAGGCGGGAGAGGCGGACGGUACUCCGCGUGUAGGGGUAAAAUCCUUUGAUCCGCGGAAGACCACCAGUGGUGAAGGCGGUCCGCCAGAACGCGCUCGACGGUGAGGGAUGAAAGCUGGGGGAGCGAACCGGAUUAGAUACCCGGGUAGUCCCAGCGGUAAAGGAGGCUAGGCACAGGAAUCGUUGGCAAGUC
rnacentral:rRNA from 1 species